rnacentral:lncRNA from 1 species
CGCCACCGCACGUGUACCGUUUGAUUAGGACGUGUCAUCUAACGGUUACACUGCGAUUUCAAGAAAUCAUCAGACAUUUGAAGGUAGUUUUGUAGUGUCGACCUGACUGAAGGAUAGCGGUUGCUCGAACGAGUCUGCCGAAUACAGCAGGUCGCCGACGUCGCGACGCUGUUUUCGCGAGUGCGAUGUGCAGUGCGAUGCGUGUCAUUCAGUGAGCAUGCUGUCUACGACCUAAACAUUCAGGUCCGAGCGCGAGAAUUGAUAACGUGGCAACUGGGACAAAGGGAUCCUGCUGGCGGCCUCGGCGGGAAAACCCGUACGAAGGCUCUCGGAAGCGCCUGUCGUGGGCGUCGGUUAUCUCGCUCUCAGUUGACCGUAAAGUACGCGACGUGAGGACGUUUUGCGGCCACCCAAGCGAAAAGAACGGGUCGCCUCUCUAGGCAGGAAAUCGAGCCCAUGGACGAGAUAGACAGCGGGGAGAGCGCGCCGGUCGAGCGUCCUCGCAGCGCUGUGCUUCUGGGCUGCUCUGCGGCGUCGAUGGUGGCCACGGCGGCUGGCCUGUUCGCGGGCAUCUUCCUGCACCCGGCGUUGGUGUUGGUGCUCGUUUUUGGAAACGCGACCAGCGUGGCAUUGGCGAUACGCUUCGGUUACCGUGCCUACGAGCCGCCGACGAACGAUACCAAGGCUUCUGCCUGCAAGACGGUCGUGCCUGUCAUUCAGAUACAUCCGCCUAAGAUGACCACUGAACUGUAGGGCACCUUCCGGCUUCAGCAAUGCCGUUGAAAGCACAUCGCGUUUGAGCCUAACAUUCGGACUCCGCUGAGAACACGUAGACAGUGUGCUCACUUUUCGAUUACAUGACGAGUGUGUGAAAUGGCCGCGCGAACUUGCUUGCACUGUAAUCCCGGCCGUCGUUAGCGGAGACACACGUGUCGUCGCUUGGAUUUUAUUUGUGCUGAAGAACGGUUUGCAUGCAAAACUUCGUGCGCGUUGGUACAAAAAGGCACAGUCCCUUUAGGCAACGCCAACGAGAGCAUAUGCGAAAGCCUGUGCUCUCACGAGGUACUCAUUAAAUUACUUUGACGUUCUCA